rnacentral:lncRNA from 1 species
UAUGUGAGAAGAGGACUUUGUCUUUUGGUCCUAAGUAAGAGAUUUUGUUUGGUUGUCAUCACUUUGAAAUUUGAAAUAAUUGCGUUUGAUCCCUCUAUAGCUAGUGAAUUUCACUUAUAUCACUAGUGUUUGGAGGUUAAUUGUGAAUUGAGUACCUGAGAUUUUCAGGAAAUAAUAAAUCCUUUUAAUGAUUUAUAUAAUAAAAAUGCCAUUUAAGUUGUGGCUUACAAUAGCCGGUUUUUCUAUAAUAGCUGUUACAUGGUGCUAAUAAUAGCCCUCUUCCCAAACAUAAGAUGUUAAAAGUUGAUCUAUAUAAUAGCACUUUAUCUAAAUAAGUGAUG